CCCGUACGAUCACCGAAGUUAAGCAAUGUUGAACAUGUUCAUUACUUACGUGGGUGACUGCUUGGGAAUACCAAGUGCUGUAAG